rnacentral:misc_RNA from 1 species
GUCAAAAUUGAUCGAAAUCAUCAAUUAAAGAAUCGGAGAAUCGAGGAAUCGAGAGGAUCGAUCGGCGGAGAUCACAAAAAUGUCGGUGGAGCCUCCUCCUUUUCAAGAAGCAGCGCGCUGCGAAGUAUGCAAAUGCAGUUUCAACACCUUCCGGCGACGGCAUCAUUGCCGAUGCUGUGGAAGGACGUUGUGCCACGAGCAUUCUUCUUUUCAAAUGGCCUUGCCGCAGUUCGGUAUUCAUUCCUCUGUUAGAGUUUGUGCUGACUGUUUUAAUAACUCCUCUCAAUCUAGAGAAGUCGGUCAACCACAAUCGUUAGCUGUAGUUGAUCAAGUAGCAGAUACAGUUUCCCAAUUAAGCCUGGAUGGGG